UCCGGUGGCGAUAUCGAGGAGGCCAUACCCGAUCCCAUCUCGAACUCGGAAGUCAAGCUCCUCGGAGCCGAUGGUACUGCACGGGCGACUGUGUGGGAGAGUAGGACGCUGCCGGGA
rnacentral:rRNA from 1 species